rnacentral:rRNA from 1 species
UACGAAGGGGGCUAGCGUUGCUCGGAAUCACUGGGCGUAAAGGGUGCGUAGGCGGGUCUUUAAGUCAGGGGUGAAAUCCUGGAGCUCAACUCCAGAACUGCCUUUGAUACUGAAGAUCUUGAGUUCGGGAGAGGUGAGUGGAACUGCGAGUGUAGAGGUGAAAUUCGUAGAUAUUCGCAAGAACACCAGUGGCGAAGGCGGCUUACUGGUCCGGUUCGUGACGCUGAGGCGCGAAAGCGUGGGGAGCAAACAGG